CCUACGGGAGGCAGCAGUGGGGAAUAUUGCGCAAUGGGCGAAAGCCUGACGCAGCGACGCCGCGUGAGGGAUGAAGGUCUUCGGAUCGUAAACCUCUGUCAGCAGGGAAGUACGGUCACUGUGCUAAUCAGCAGUGAAUUGACGGUACCUGCAAAGGAAGCACCGGCUAACUCCGUGCCAGCAGCCGCGGUAAUACGGAGGGGGCGAGCGUUAAUCGGAUUUACUGGGCGUAAAGGGCUCGUAGGCGGUAUGUCAAGUCAAGGGUGAAAUCCCCGCGCUCAACGUGGGAACUGCCUUUGAAACUGGGAGACUGGAGUGUGUGAGAGGAUAGUGGAAUUCCUGGUGUAGGAGUGAAAUGCGUAGAUAUCUGGAGGAACAUCGGUGGCGAAGGCGACUAUCUGGCACAUAACUGACGCUGAGGAGCGAAAGCGUGGGUAGCAAACAGGAUUAGAUACCCGUGUAGUC
rnacentral:rRNA from 1 species